AUGGACCAAGCCUCACAUCGCCGUGUUGAGUACAGGGGUCAGCAGACUCUGACGGCUGAGGACCAACACACUGAUGUAGCAUCCCCUCUCUCCUUCUCUUGGAUCGGGUGCAGCCAGCUGAGUGAAAUGCUUCACUGUAACAUGGCCACCAGAAGGAGAUUUUUCUUUUGUGUGUUUCUUUCGAAGGGAGUCGACGCACGGCGGCUGACACAGACGAACCGAUAGGGAAGUUGCAUCAGUGUUGUACUGCAACGUGAAGGGAGAAGAAACCCAGGCCUCUGUCGUGCUUUGACCCGACAUUAUUUACAUCAUUUUCUUAAAUGUGGUUAUCAUUAGUACAUUUAAUGACGUGGGAUGGUAACGCAUUUACAGCUACGUGUUAGAACCGUUUUUUCUUGGAUUUUACAGAAUUCCCUGCGUUGCUGCACAAGACAGCAACACUUUAACAAACUAUCUCAAUGUAUGUAUUAAUGCAAACAAAGAAAUGCUCCUUUUUACUGUACACAAGGCAACUUUUCAGCAACUCAACAGUAAGGAAUACACCAAAGUCAUAUUCGAUGUCCUCUAAAAAUUACUUUUCUUCUUAACAGGAACUUGUCAAAAUGUUCUCUUUCCUGACGUUUUCUGAAAGAUAAGCAGCACAUGCAAGAAAGUGUGCAUGUGUAUGUAUGAGUAUUUUUGCCUGUGUAAGGGAAAGAGAUGUAGAUGUUUGUUACAAGUUAUGCAUGUGGUAUUGAACGACAAAGGAGGCUCUCUCGCACAUAUUGAGAUAUCACAUCCAUUUAAUAUCUCCGCAUUGUGUGGAGGUCAAUAACAUAAAUAUAAAUGAGCUUUCCCAGACUUUAAAUGUCCUAAAUUCUGAUGUUCACAUGAUUCAAGAUACCUAUUCCAUAGAUUCCAAAGGUAACCACAUGAAAAACACAAGACCACUGUAAAGCUGCGGGAUGUGAUUAUACAAGGGUUUCAAAGUCAUGCAAAGAGCAGCAGAAUACACUAUUUUCCAUCUUGGUCGAGUUUGAAACAAACAGAUAAAGAAGAUAAAGUCACAAUGGUUUUAAUUAUUUUGAUUAACAAAUAUAUGUAUAGUGGUAAUUAUGAACUGGGUUUAGGAUUGGCAAUCAAACUAAAAGUUGUCGUUUCCUUUGAGCGCUCGCUCGCACAAAUCUACUCACUACUACUUUUGUCCAAAGGCUUCCAAAUGAAAUGCACUGAUGGCUGCUCUUAUCUUUUAGACUUAACUGAACACGUGACUUAAAAACACUUUCUGACCUUACAACCUACUUAACAAAGAGCUUUGACACUUACCCAGACCCCCAAAAUAGUACAGCAUCAGACAGACAACUUCAGGUGCUGAGGCUUCGAGCAGAGACAUGAACCUUUUCCUCACCUCGCUCGCCUUCCAUAGAAUGUUUGAGUCUGUGAUGCAACAAGUUUGAACCCACCCACCGAGAGGAAUCGACUCUGCUGACUUCCCCUUUUUCUUCCGGCUCAUUUUCAUAUCAACCCUCUGAAAGGUUUUGGUGAUAAGUACAAGCGGGCUAAACACCAACACAGGACUAUUUGUCUUAGUGCACACAGCAAACAGUAACAUUCAUUUUAGGCAAAUUCAUAUUUUGUCAACUAUGCCACUGACAGUGUUGCAGCAGGAAGAUGUGACCACGCUUCAAGCUGAUAAGCCCUGCGGGCAUUAGAAAAGACAGCUGAUUGUGUUUCUACACGACGACACAAUUAACAGCUCUCUGCAUCCACGUCACGUUUUGAGCCUUUUCGGUGGGGGUGAGUCGUGCGCUGCGGUCCUCCAGGCUCCUCCCCCGCCGCUAGGGGGCGCGCCGCACGUCGCCUGCACCGCGGAGGCCGGCGAUAAGACGUGCUUCCGGCCUCGGGCCUCUCUCUUUUCCUCUGCAUCGGGACGCAGCCAUGGUAAGAAUUUCCUUCCCGACUGCGCUUCGCAGAAUCAAACUCAAUCCGGCCAAAUAAACGAUCGUAUCUGCUUCUGGUCCCCUUCGUGCGUGUUAAGGGUCUUGUGACACACGGAACGAUGGUAGUAUUGUUCACCUCUUGUUCAUUUUACGCACUUAGAUUUGCCAUUUAAAUCGGCUUGCUGUGUUUGGGGCGAAUUGCCAUCUGCAACGGGUAACAUCCCUCCCAUUUUCUUUCGAAUGAAGUUAUAUUGAGACGAUAGUCUACGUAUAAUUGGUUAAAGCGUCCGUCGUUACACUCAAUUAUCGCAACCUCGUACUUUUUAAACACGUUUUUGUGUUGAAUUGACGUUAAAUGGCUUCCCUGCUAGCAGGUUGCUAGCUAGCUUCAUUUGCAUUUACACGCUUAACCGCCUGCUACGUUUCCGUGGUAAACACGAGACUACUGUCAGUUAUCGGAAACCUCAAAUGCUUCAACGUGACACGGUGUCGUUUUGCAUUUCAAAC
ensembl:lncRNA